rnacentral:snRNA from 1 species
GUGCUCGCUUCAGCACUUGCUAAAAUUCACAUAUACUAAAAUUGGAACGAUACAGAGAAGAUUAGCAUGGCCCCUGAGCAAGGAUGACACGCAAAUUCGUGAAGCGUUCCAUAUUUUU